rnacentral:rRNA from 1 species
AGUGAACGCUGGCGGUAUGCCUAACACAUGCAAGUCGAACGGCAGCACAGUAAGAGCUUUCUCUUACGGGUGGCGAGUGGCGGACGGGUGAGGAAUACAUCGCAAUCUACUUUUUCGUGGGUGAUAACGUAGGGAAACUUACGCUAAUACCGCAUACGACCUACGGGUUAAAUCAGGGGUUCUUCGGACCUUUCGCGAUUGAAUGAGCCGGUGUCGGAUUAGCUAGUUUGCUGGGUAAAGGCCCACCAAGGCGACGAUCCGUAGCUGGUCUGAGAGGAUGAUCAGCCACACUGGAACUGAGACACGGUCCAGACUCCUACGGGAGGCAGCAGUGGGGAAUAUUGGACAAUGGGCGAAAGCCUGAUCCAGCAAUACCGCGUGAGUGAAGAAGGCCUUCGGGUUGUAAAGCCCUUUUGUUGGGAAAGAAAAGAAGCAGGUUAAUCCGUGGAUGUUCUGACGGUACCCAAAGAAUAAGCAACGGCUAACUUCGUG